rnacentral:rRNA from 1 species
ACGAACGCUGGCGGCAGGCCUAACACAUGCAAGUCGAGCGAGGACUUCGGUUCUAGCGGCGGACGGGUGAGUAACGCGUGGGAAUGUGCCCUUCUCUACGGAAUAGCCCUGGGAAACUGGGAGUAAUACCGUAUACGCCCUAUUGGGGAAAGAUUUAUCGGAGAAGGAUCAGCCCGCGUUGGAUUAGGUAGUUGGUGGGGUAAUGGCCUACCAAGCCGACGAUCCAUAGCUGGUUUGAGAGGAUGAUCAGCCACACUGGGACUGAGACACGGCCCAGACUCCUACGGGAGGCAGCAGUGGGGAAUCUUAGACAAUGGGGGCAACCCUGAUCUAGCCAUGCCGCGUGAGUGAUGAAGGCCUUAGGGUUGUAAAGCUCUUUCAGCUGGGAAGAUAAUGACGGUACCAGCAGAAGAAGCCCCGGCUAACUCCGU